UAAUCAAAUAAAUAAAUCAACUUUAGGACGGUACAGAUUUAUGGGGUUCAGUUUGAGUUACUUUAUCUUUGUCUUUAAAAAUCCCCCUUCAUGCAGCCUAACAAGCUGAAAAUAUUUUCUGUUUUCUUGAUUUUAGUCUGCAUCAUAUUGAACAAACAGAAGCCUGGAGUAACCCGAUUUGAAUUUUAAACUGUAUCACAGCCUCACUUGACACAGAUUUCUGAUUGGUUGAUCACGGUGGGAGGGAAAACUCAUUGGUUGACGUCACCAACGGGCCGGAAUCUGCAAGCGGGAGAAGUGCAGAGAACGAGAGAUUUUUGACGACCGUUUGUCGUAUUUUUUCUGCGUUUUAACAAUCCGUGGGAUGAAUCUCCAACAUUUUUUUUGCUUGUCUGGAAAAGAUUCAAAUAAAAUCUUUGAAGUUUGCACGGUGAUCUAAAUACACGUGAAAAUGAGUGAAUCAGAACCCAUGUUCCUCCACACUGCCAUUAUGGAGGUCCUACCAGAGCCACAAAAGACAUCCUGGAAGAACACUUGCAGUCCAUUGGAAUAAAUGGAGUUGUAUGAGGAUCUACGAUUCAUAGAAGAGGCUGACUUGCUGCCAGCUUUGAGACCUGUUCAAGCCCGGAAACGUCUUGCUCUCUGGAAAUUGAAAUACCAAACGCCAGAGAACAGCACAUCGUCAUCUGUUGAGACCUCACCAACACAAUCAUCAUCACUUUUGUUAUAGUCACCGAGAAGUUUGUCAUCCACAUCUUCCAGAAGCCGAGGACUGUACAUACAUUGACUGGGAGGACAGCUUUGAAAUUCCAUGGAAAAUGAUGAAAGCAAGACGUUUUUCCAAACUCUAAAAGGCUGCAGAUGAUGCGGGGAGAGCAGAGUGGCUGCUCAGAAGAGAUGAGAUGUUAAAGAGAUGCGCUUUCUUCUGCUCUGCUACUUUAAUGAGGAGGAUGCCAUGUUCUUGUAGAAGAUGCAGACGAGGUCCAGAUGCAGCAGGUGCCGUUGACUCCAACUGUUAUUGUAUGUGGACAGUCUUGCUUUUCCCCAAGGAGGUUCAUGCUGAGUUGGGACCGCUCCAUCGUACACAACAACAUUGCAGCACUGUGCCUGAUGUUCAGAAGCUACUUCUGCUUUAACAGUCAUUAUCCAACUGAGCUGGCUUCAACCCUGGAGUUUCUGCAAAGCUUAUGUCCUAAGAUGUGCCACUCUACCUGGUUGGGAACAAAUUGAAGAGGCCAAGCUCAAGAAAGCCUUUGUCAGCAAAUGUAGGGCAGAGCAGGUUCUAAGGCCACUGCUAUGAUCUACAGUAUGCGGACUGGUUUCUCUUCCAUCUUUUUUCUUAUUUUUAAUCUUAAUUUGGUUCUCAAAUUGGUUCAUGGAUUUGAUAGUCUGCAAGUUUCAGAGAAUGUUUUUAUGUUUAUGUUUUUAUAAUGUUUUUUUUUUUCAGUGUGUUGUUUAAAAUCUGGAAGUAUUCAUGACCAGCGUGUCAACCAGAUUGAGUAUGCCACGGUUUAUGUACUUAAUGCAUUUAAUAUUUUAAAAAGUGUCUAAUACUGCUACCACAAUUCAAAUGCUGUACUGAUGAUGGUGCUGCCCAAAUAAACUGUAAAGCAUUUA